rnacentral:ncRNA from 1 species
AAAUGGGAUUAGAUACCCCAGUAGUCCUAGCCGUAAACGAUGGAUACUAAGUGUUGUGCGUAUCGACCCAUGUAGUGUUGUAGCUAACGUGUUAAGUAUCCCGCCUGGGGAGUACGUUCGCAAGAAUGAAACUCAAAGGAAUUGACGAGGGCCCGCACAAGUGGUGGAGCAUGUGGUUCAAUUCGAUGAAAAGCGAAGAACCUUACCAGAGCUUGACAUGCCAUGAAUCCUCCCGAAAGAGAGGAGUGCCUUCAGGAACAAGGACACAGGUGGUGCAUGGCUAUCGUCAGCUCAUGCUGUAAGGUGUUGGUUUAAGUCCCACAACAAGCGCAACCCUAAUGUUUAGUUGCUAGCAUUGAGUUUGGAACCCUGAACAGACUGCCGGUGAUAAGCCGGAGGAAGGUGAGGAUGACGUCAAGUCAUAAUGCCCCUUACGCCCUGGGUGACACAUGUGCUACAAUGACCAGGAAAAAGGGUCGCGACCCCGCGAGGGCAAGCUAACCUCAAAAAUCCAGCCUCAGUUUGGAUUGCAGGCUGCAACUCGCUUGCAUGAAGCCAGAAUCACUAGUAAUCGUCGGUCAUCCAUAUGACGGUGAAUCUAUUCUCGGGCCUUGUACACACCGCCCAUCACACUAUGGGAGUUGUCCAUACCCCAAGUCAUUACCUUGACCGCAAGGAGGGGGAUGUCGAAGGCUGGGCUAGUGACUGGAGUGAAGUCGUAACAAGGUAGCCGUACUGGAAGAUGCGGCUGGAUCACCUCAUUU